rnacentral:rRNA from 1 species
UACGUAGGGUGCAAGCGUUGUCCGGAAUUAUUGGGCGUAAAGAGCUUGUAGGCGGUUUGUCGCGUCUGCUGUGAAAUUUCGGGGCUCAACCCCGAACUUGCAGUGGGUACGGGCAGACUAGAGUGUGGUAGGGGAGACUGGAAUUCCUGGUGUAGCGGUGAAAUGCGCAGAUAUCAGGAGGAACACCGAUGGCGAAGGCGGCCGCCUGGGCCAGUCCUGACGCUGAGCCGCGAAAGCGUGGGGAGCGAUCCGG